rnacentral:rRNA from 1 species
GAUGAACGCUGGCGGCGUGCCUAAUACAUGCAAGUCGAGCGAACAGAUCAGGAGUUUGCUCCUCCGACGUUAUCGGCGGACGGGUUAGUAACAUGUGUAUAACCUACCUAUAAGACUGGGAUAACUUUGGGAAACCGGAGCUAAUACCGGAUAAUAUAUCGAACCGCAUGGUUCAAUAGUGAAAGACGGUUUUGCUGUCACUUAUAGAUGGACCCGCGCCGCAUGAGAUAGUUGUUAAGGUAAAUGCUUAACAAGGCAACGAUGCGUAGACGACCUGAGGGGGUGGUCGGACACACUGUAUGUGAGGCACAGUCGAGACUCCUGCGGGGAGACACAGUAGAGAAUCUUACGCAAUGGGCGAGAGCCUAACGGUGCAACGCCGCGUGAAUGAUGAAGGUGUUAGGAUCGUAAAACUCUGUUGUUAGGGGAGAACAAAUGUGUUAGUAGCUAUGCACAUCUUGACGGUACCUAAUCAAGAAGCCACGGCUAACUACGUG